rnacentral:misc_RNA from 1 species
CUGGCCUAGAUCGAAAUUGUUUUAGAAGAAUUUAGCAUCAUCAGAUCUCUUUAUAAAUGAGCAUUAACUAUAGUAAAAUUAAGGUAACAUAUUCAUACAACCUACCUUAUCUAGAUUGAAAUUGGUGUUUAGCUAAGUAAGUCAUGUUGUAGUUGUUUGUAAGGUUGUUCUUAUGUGUUAUUAGGGCUAAACAGAGUAUUAAAAAGGUGAUGAUCUAUCUAAAGCUCAGUUCAAAGUAAAGGCGGACAAAUUGUUGAUAUUGCAUUAGUAGUUAAUAAAAUGUUGAUUACUGGUGAUACUGAGGGUAUCUGGACAAUGGACACAUGGACAGG